rnacentral:rRNA from 1 species
UAGGGAAUCUUCCGCAAUGGACGAAAGUCUGACGGAGCAACGCCGCGUGAGUGAUGAAGGCCUUCGGGUCGUAAAGCUCUGUUGUUAGGGAAGAACAAGUACCGUUCGAAUAGGGCGGUACCUUGACGGUACCUAACGAGAAAGCCACGGCUAACUACGUGCCAGCAGCCGCGGUAAUACGUAGGUGGCAAGCGUUAUCCGGAAUUAUUGGGCGUAAAGCGCGCGCAGGCGGUUUCUUAAGUCUGAUGUGAAAGCCCACGGCUCAACCGUGGAGGGUCAUUGGAAACUGGGAAACUUGAGUACAGAAGAGGAAAGUGGAAUUCCACGUGUAGCGGUGAAAUGCGUAGAUAUGUGGAGGAACACCAGUGGCGAAGGCGACUUUCUGGUCUGUAACUGACGCUGAGGCGCGAAAGCGUGGGGAGCAAACAGGAUUAGAUACCCUGGUAGUCCACGCCGUAAACGAUGAGUGCUAAGUGUUAGAGGGUUUCCGCCUUUAGUGCUGUAGCUAACGCUAA